GCGGCGGUGGCGGAAUUGGUAGACGCGCCAGCUUGAGGGGCUGGUGGGCUUCGGCCCGUGGAAGUUCGAGUCUUCUUCGCCGCACCA
rnacentral:tRNA from 3 species